CUGACCUCAGGGAACCAGCGUGGGCUUUACGGGGUGGUGGGAUCUCCCCAAACGCUGGCCCCGCGCCUGGCGGACCCAGUCAGGCUCGAGGCUGGGAGACGAAGGGUGGGCUAAGAAGACUUGGGAGAGGCGAGAGCCCUCCACCCCACGUGCGCCCCCGUGCCGCUAGGCCUUGGCGGUCGCACCAGCGCGUUACUCUGAUUUCCCCGGGCUUCGACCAGGAUCCCCGACGGCGGGGAAGGGGAGCCGCAAGCCUCCUGCUGCAGAAAGUGGUUCACGCCUAGGCCUAGGAGGGCAGGGCCAGGGCCAUGAGAAGGUAAAGUCACCCAGCGGCCAGACCAUCCCCAAGGGUGCAUCCCACGAGCUAUGGAAAGGUCCUGCCGGGUGAGCGAAGGGGGAAUUCCCGCCGGGCCCUGACGCUCACCCUAGUGGUCCUAGCCCUGCUCCCCCGGAGGGACUUCGGGCUUGGUCCCCAGCCCUCCAAAGCGCACCGCCCUGGCUUCAUCCCCGAAAUUGAGGAAGGGAAUUUGCGGGGUGGGGAUGGCCUGCUGUGUCUCAGAGCCCGUCUAGUUUCUGGCUGCGCCAGUCAGCUUCCAAACUGUUCCUAAACGCGGUAUGAGGAAUUCGAGUACUAACGUGAAAGGGGCCGAGUAGACCUGGAACCUGACUCCCGAAUCUGCCCUAGGGCAGGAUUGAGCUGGUACGGCGCCCACACCUGCUCGCCUGGCCCCACUUGCCAGGUGAGCUCGGCGCUCCCCACCCGCGGGGCUUGGGGCACGAUCCAGCUUGGGGCCAGCUGGGAUGAGGACCUAGGAGCCGGGGAGGUCCGCAGAGGGCAGCGGCGAGGCGGGGGGCGCGGGGUGCGUGGUGCCCAGUUUGGCCGCCAGGAGGCGUGGCGCGGGUCCCGGCGUCCGGAGCCGCCGCCGCCGCAUCGCAAGUGUCCUUGAGCCGCGGGUGACGGUGGCUCUUGCCGCUCGCGCCCCCUUCUCCCGCGGGGGGAGCCUGAUGCCACGUUCCCUAUGAAUUAUUUAUCGCUGGCCUAAAAAUACCCCGAACUUCACAGCCCGAGUGGCGUCGUGACAGGAGCCGUCCCAGAAUCAUAGCCGGAGCUCCCCAACCGGAGGUGGUGGUGAGGAAGGGCAGCGGCUUGGGACCAGACCCAGACUCUCUGUGUCCCCACCUGUGCGUCCGCAGCUGCGAGGUACUGAGGCAGGGGCUCUGAGGAAGAGGAAUUUACCUGGGGCUCUGAAAGUUCUGGAGUUUGUCCUGUAGACGAGAGAGGCAAAGGGAAGAGGCCAUUGCAGCCCGAGGGAGCAAGCCUGGAAGUGAGGGCACUGGGGGCUGCCCCCAGACUGAAGGGAGGAGGAGGCCCACGGAGGGGAGGCUGGUCAGGGUGUGUUGGGCUCUGUCCGUGGGACCAGGGUGUCCGGGCUUCAUGUGUGGGCACCAGGGAGCAGCUGUGCUGUCUGAGGAGGGGUACAGCGGCCAGAGGACUUUUUUUGGCCAGGGGGGCAGGUAGGGUGUGGCUGGAUGGGAGGUGGAGAGGUGGGAGGCCAGG
ensembl:lncRNA